GUGCGCCGUUUUUUAAGCCCGUCAGAAAAGCACAGUAUUCGGGUGGGAGUGACCCGAUUUUCCAGGUGCCGUCCGCCACCCCUUUCUUUGACUCGGAAAGAAAUUCUAUGGCAGUACUGGCUGUGCCUGAGAAACCUCCUGCCACUCAAGCCCAGCAAGGUUCUUGGGAGAACAGUCCAGCAGAAUCAGUUAUCAAGUAAAAGUCACAACCAUAAGUUCAAUGCCACUGAUUCAUGCAACAGGUAGAACUAUCACAAGUCCCAUCAUCAUCUCCUCCUCUUCUGUGCUUCCUGACAGGACACAGGCAGGUUACUGAGUAGAUGGAUUGACCAGAGCUUCCUAUAAUACCAAGGAAAGUUUCACGGAGAACAUCUGGAAUUAAGUCAACUUGAGUGGAUUGAAGGAUGCAAAGUAUUUUUCCUGGGUGUGUCUGUCAGGGCGUUGCCAAAGGAGAUCAACAUUUGAGUCAGUGGCCCGGAAGAGGCAGACCCACCCUCUAUCUGGGUAGGCACCAUCUAAUCAGUUGCCAGUGUGGCUGGAAUAAAGCAGGCAGAAGAACAUGGAAGGACUUGACUUGCUGUCUUCUGGCCUUCAUCUUUCUCCUGUGGUGGAUGCUUCCUGCCCUUGAACCUUAGACUCCAGGUUCUUCAGCUUUUGGACUCUUGGACUUACACCAGUAAUUUGCCAGGGGCUGUCUCUCUAGCAUCCUUGCUCCUCAGCUUGCAGACAGCCUAUUGUGGGACUUCAAUUUGUGAUUGCAUGAGUCAAUACUUCUUAAUAAAUUCUCCUCCAUAUAUACAUCUGUCCUGUUUUUUCUGUUCCUUUAGAGAACCCUAAUUAAUACAGAUUUAUUCUCUUCCAGAUUCUUUUUAGAAAAAUUACAGAGAAUAUUGGAUU
rnacentral:lncRNA from 1 species